rnacentral:rRNA from 1 species
CCUACGGGUGGCUGCAGUGGGGAAUUUUGGACAAUGGGCGCAAGUCUGAUCCAGCAAUACCGCGUGCAGGACGAAGGCCUUCGGGUUGUAAACUGCUUUUGUACGGAACGAAAAGCCUUCUUCUAAUACAGGGAGGUCAUGACGGUACCGUAAGAAUAAGCACCGGCUAACUACGUGCCAGCAGCCGCGGUAAUACGUAGGGUGCAAGCGUUAAUCGGAAUUACUGGGCGUAAAGCGUGCGCAGGCGGUUGUGUAAGACAGGUGUGAAAUCCCCGAGCUCAACUUGGGAAUUGCACUUGUGACUGCACAGCUAGAGUACGGCAGAGGGGGAUGGAAUUCCGCGUGUAGCAGUGAAAUGCGUAGAUAUGCGGAGGAACACCGAUGGCGAAGGCAAUCCCCUGGGCCUGUACUGACGCUCAUGCACGAAAGCGUGGGGAGCAAACAGGAUUAGAUACCCCAGUAGUC